AGCCUGACGGAGCACGCCGCGUGAGUGAUGAAGGUCUUCGGAUCGUAAAACUCUGUUAUCAGGGAAGAACAAAUGUGUAAGUAACUGUGCACAUCUUGACGGUACCUGAUCAGAAAGCCACGGCUAACUACGUGCCAGCAGCCGCGGUAAUACGUAGGUGGCAAGCGUUAUCCGGAAUUAUUGGGCGUAAAGCGCGCGUAGGCGGUUUUUUAAGUCUGAUGUGAAAGCCCACGGCUCAACCGUGGAGGGUCAUUGGAAACUGGAAAACUUGAGUGCAGAAGAGGAAAGUGGAAUUCCAUGUGUAGCGGUGAAAUGCGCAGAGAUAUGGAGGAACACCAGUGGCGAAGGCGACUUUCUGGUCUGUAACUGACGCUGAUGUGCGAAAGCGUGGGGAUCAAACAGGAUUAGAUACC
rnacentral:rRNA from 1 species